ensembl:Mt_tRNA
AAGGACUUAGCUUAAUUAAAGUAGUUGAUUUGCAUUCAGUUGAUGUAGGAUAGAAUCUUGCAGUCCUUA